UGGCUCAGUGGGUAAGAGCAUCCGACUGCUCUUCCGAAGGUCCUGAGUUCAAAUCCCAG
rnacentral:tRNA from 1 species